GUCUAUGGCCAUACCGCUCUGAACACCCCCAAUCUCAUCUGGUCUCAGAAACUAAGCAGGGCUGAGCCUGGUUAGUACUUGGAUGGGAAAAAGAUCUUCAGAGGAGACUGCUCAAGGACA
rnacentral:rRNA from 1 species